GUUAAAUGAUAAUGAUGAUGAUGAUGAUGAUGCUAUACACACAUAAUAUGUGUGUAUAGCAUCAUCAUCAUCAUCAUCAAUGAAA
rnacentral:pre_miRNA from 1 species